rnacentral:rRNA from 1 species
GACGGAGGAUGCAAGUGUUAUCCGGAAUCACUGGGCGUAAAGCGUCUGUAGGUGGUCAAAUAAGUCAACUGUUAAAUCUUGAGGCUCAACCUCAAAAUCGCAGUCGAAACUAUUCGACUAGAGUAUAGUAGGGGUAAAGGGAAUUUCCAGUGGAGCGGUGAAAUGCGUAGAGAUUGGAAAGAACACCGAUGGCGAAGGCACUUUACUGGGCUAUUACUAACACUGAGAGACGAAAGCCAGGGGAGCAAGCGGG